rnacentral:misc_RNA from 1 species
ACAUCAUGGCCGACCGGUUAACGCAACUUCAAGACGCAGUGAAUGCGCAAGCGGACAAUUUCUGCAACAGCAUCGGUAUCCUGCAACAGUAUGCGCCACCCAGCAGCUUCCCGGAGUUCGAGAAGUCCGUCUCGAAGCCCGGUCAUCAACCGCAAGAAGACUACCCACAGUUGUUUGCGACACUGAUAGCCAGGACUGCAAAGGAUAUCGAUGUCCUGAUCGACUCCCUGCCAAGUGAAGAAGCUUCUCCUGAGCUACAGUUAAUUUUAAGAAAAAUAUUGCCAUGUUCCUUGCGGACGAUGCUCCUGAUUGUGCGGAGGAACGUCAUCUGAAAGACAUCCCAGCUUGGCAGCGUGGGCUCCCGGUUCUCGAACCACACCUUUGCGGUGUCUUCUAGGUGCUCCAUGGAAGCUUGGUGGCUCCCUGGGUAGGUGCAUCACAAUAGCCGCAGGCAGUGGCGCAGAGGCAGUCAUCGUUGCAGCAGUGGCCGUCAUUGUGGAAGUGCGAGUCUUGUUGGGUAAAGGCCUGUACUCCAGUGGUACACCUUGUUGCCUACGGCUGACUCGCUGGUCGUGGUUGGCAUCGGUGUCUUCUCUACGACAUGGACUCGGUUCACGGCUGGAAGGGGGCGUGCAGUACAUGGAUUACCCAGCACCUCGGCCAGAUGUUACGGCGUCGUGACAACGACGAAUAGAGCAGGUCGAAGAUUGAAGGGUUUAUUUGGGCUGAACUUGUGGCCAACAAAUGAAAAGUAAGAUUACAGCGAGGCACUGGCACUAACAGCGGUAGGCAGAGCGUCAGCCGUCGAUCAACCGACAAGCGGCGAAGCGCGUUGGCAUUUAUACACUUGCCAUCGAAUGCUCUAGCAUUAUGGCUAGCGGCGACAUAGGUUCCAGAAUAAUCUGUACUGUUCUCGAUGUGGGCAUAAUCUUAAAACAACAAUCUAUUAUUGGAACAUCGUAGGCGCGGUUUGCACUGAACGUAGUGUAACGCGGUGAUAACAAAACCUGAGGAAAGGAACAUGGCAUGGAACUCUACAACGACGCCAUGCUGCCAAACGUCGCUAAUGAAGAAGCUUGAGGUCACCGAGCGUGGAAGAAGCUCGUCAACUCGCCCGUUUGUGCAUCAAGAAUCGGCAGGCGGCUCCGCUGUUUUAAUCUUUAAUGAAGCUUCGUGGAGUACCAGCCCGGUGACCGUAUCUGGGUAUGGAUGCCGAUACGCCAACGUGGACUCGGUGAAAAACUUCUGCGACAAUAUGUCGGACCGUACAGAGUAGCUCGAUGUCUUGGACCACUGGAUUAGAAGGUUGUUCCCGACAGCAUUACCAACUCUCAACGGUGCCGUGCUCGACUUGAAGUCCUCCAUGUAGUGCGCCUCAAGCCAUUUCAUGCGUGAACCUGAGGACUGUAUUCUGUUAUUCUUGCUGUGCUUUAUUGCUUGUACUUAUUGUUUAUUGUCUUUAUUAUUGUGCCUUCAUCUUUUGUUAAAGCAUCACUACGAUGCCUUUUUCAGAGGGGGGCAAUGCCACGUUGCUUUCCUCAAGUUUUAUUAUCGCUCCGUUACACAACGUUCAGCACAAACCAUGCCUACGAUGUUCGAAAAGCUUUGAGGCUGUAGUAGAUCACUGUGUUAAGAUUACGCCCACUUCGUGAACAUUGCAGAUUAUUCUGGAACCUACGUCGCCGCUAGCGAUAAUGCUUGAACAUUCGAUGGCGAGUGUAUAAAUGCCGACUCCCUUUGAGAGUGUAUAAAUGCAGUGCUACCUUUGAGAGAAUUGUUUGCCAAUCAAAACAGACAAUUUUUUUCCUCGUUAAGCAGCUCAGAUGCGUUAUAUUCUGAAAGAGCCUUCUCUGGGCUGCACAUUAUGCACACUAUCUUACCGAUCUGGCACAUGUUUUAGUCUGCAGAUGUUCAUACUGAUAGAUCUAGCUGUAUAAAAGAAUUCGUCAAGCAGGGGUGCAAUAACUGGACAGCUUCUGUGCUUCAGGCAUCUGCGUUGGUGCUAUGCGUAGUAUGUACCUUGUUUGCUCAUGAACGCUGAUGCAUGCAUAUUGUUUACUGCUGUAUGUGCUAAAAUAUUACUUAUGUGGUCAUUAUUUUAUGUAAACAUCGAUUGAUUGACUCGCAAUAAAACUAUUUAUUGCUGCA